rnacentral:rRNA from 1 species
GGGUUGUGAGGUUAAGCGACUAAGCGUACACGGUGGAUGCCCUGGCAGUCAGAGGCGAUGAAGGACGUGCUAAUCUGCGAUAAGCGUCGGUAAGGUGAUAUGAACCGUUAUAACCGGCGAUUUCCGAAUGGGGAAACCCAGUGUGAUUCGUCACACUAUCAUUAACUGAAUCCAUAGGUUAAUGAGGCGAACCGGGGGAACUGAAACAUCUAAGUACCCCGAGGAAAAGAAAUCAACCGAGAUUCCCCCAGUAGCGGCGAGCGAACGGGGAGGAGCCCAGAGCCUGAAUCAGUGUGUGUGUUAGUGGAAGCGUCUGGAAAGGCGCGCGAUACAGGGUGACAGCCCCGUACACAAAAAUGCACAUGCUGUGAGCUCGAUGAGUAGGGCGGGACACGUGGUAUCCUGUCUGAAUAUGGGGGGACCAUCCUCCAAGGCUAAAUACUCCUGACUGACCGAUAGUGAACCAGUACCGUGAGGGAAAGGCGAAAAGAACCCCGGCGAGGGGAGUGAAAAAGAACCUGAAACCGUGUACGUACAAGCAGUGGGAGCACGCUUCGGCGUGUGACUGCGUACCUUUUGUAUAAUGGGUCAGCGACUUAUAUUCUGUAGCAAGGUUAACCGAAUAGGGGAGCCGAAGGGAAACCGAGUCUUAACUGGGCGUUAAGUUGCAGGGUAUAGACCCGAAACCCGGUGAUCUAGCCAUGGGCAGGUUGAAGGUUGGGUAACACUAACUGGAGGACCGAACCGACUAAUGUUGAAAAAUUAGCGGAUGACUUGUGGCUGGGGGUGAAAGGCCAAUCAAACCGGGAGAUAGCUGGUUCUCCCCGAAAGCUAUUUAGGUAGCGCCUCGUGAAUUCAUCUCCGGGGGUAGAGCACUGUUUCGGCAAGGGGGUCAUCCCGACUUACCAACCCGAUGCAAACUGCGAAUACCGGAGAAUGUUAUCACGGGAGACACACGGCGGGUGCUAACGUCCGUCGUGAAGAGGGAAACAACCCAGACCGCCAGCUAAGGUCCCAAAGUCAUGGUUAAGUGGGAAACGAUGUGGGAAGGCCCAGACAGCCAGGAUGUUGGCUUAGAAGCAGCCAUCAUUUAAAGAAAGCGUAAUAGCUCACUGGUCGAGUCGGCCUGCGCGGAAGAUGUAACGGGGCUAAACCAUGCACCGAAGCUGCGGCAGCGACACUAUGUGUUGUUGGGUAGGGGAGCGUUCUGUAAGCCUGUGAAGGUGGCCUGUGAGGGUUGCUGGAGGUAUCAGAAGUGCGAAUGCUGACAUAAGUAACGAUAAAGCGGGUGAAAAGCCCGCUCGCCGGAAGACCAAGGGUUCCUGUCCAACGUUAAUCGGGGCAGGGUGAGUCGACCCCUAAGGCGAGGCCGAAAGGCGUAGUCGAUGGGAAACAGGUUAAUAUUCCUGUACUUGGUGUUACUGCGAAGGGGGGACGGAGAAGGCUAUGUUGGCCGGGCGACGGUUGUCCCGGUUUAAGCGUGUAGGCUGGUUUUCCAGGCAAAUCCGGAAAAUCAAGGCUGAGGCGUGAUGACGAGGCACUACGGUGCUGAAGCAACAAAUGCCCUGCUUCCAGGAAAAGCCUCUAAGCAUCAGGUAACAUCAAAUCGUACCCCAAACCGACACAGGUGGUCAGGUAGAGAAUACCAAGGCGCUUGAGAGAACUCGGGUGAAGGAACUAGGCAAAAUGGUGCCGUAACUUCGGGAGAAGGCACGCUGAUAUGUAGGUGAAGCGACUUGCUCGUGGAGCUGAAAUCAGUCGAAGAUACCAGCUGGCUGCAACUGUUUAUUAAAAACACAGCACUGUGCAAACACGAAAGUGGACGUAUACGGUGUGACGCCUGCCCGGUGCCGGAAGGUUAAUUGAUGGGGUUAGCGGUAACGCGAAGCUCUUGAUCGAAGCCCCGGUAAACGGCGGCCGUAACUAUAACGGUCCUAAGGUAGCGAAAUUCCUUGUCGGGUAAGUUCCGACCUGCACGAAUGGCGUAAUGAUGGCCAGGCUGUCUCCACCCGAGACUCAGUGAAAUUGAACUCGCUGUGAAGAUGCAGUGUACCCGCGGCAAGACGGAAAGACCCCGUGAACCUUUACUAUAGCUUGACACUGAACAUUGAGCCUUGAUGUGUAGGAUAGGUGGGAGGCUUUGAAGUGUGGACGCCAGUCUGCAUGGAGCCGACCUUGAAAUACCACCCUUUA